rnacentral:rRNA from 1 species
CCUACGGGGGGCAGCAGUGGGGAAUAUUGCACAAUGGGGGAAACCCUGAUGCAGCGACGCCGCGUGAGUGAAGAAGUAAUUCGUUACGUAAAGCUCUAUCAGCAGGGAAGAAAUACUGACCUUACGGUCAGCAGACGGUACCUGAGUAAGAAGCCCCGGCUAACUACGUGCCAGCAGCCGCGGUAAUACGUAGGGGGCAAGCGUUAUCCGGAUUUACUGGGUGUAAAGGGAGCGUAGACGGUGCGCCAAGUCUGGAGUGAAAUGCCGCGGCUUAACUGCGGAACUGCUUUGGAAACUGGCGAACUAGAGUGCGGGAGGGGGAAGCGGAAUUCCUAGUGUAGCGGUGAAAUGCGUAGAUAUUAGGAGGAACACCGGUGGCGAAGGCGGCUUACUGGACCGUAACUGACGUUGAGGCUCGAAAGCGUGGGGAGCAAACAGGAGUAGAUACCCCGGUAGUC